rnacentral:rRNA from 1 species
UACGAAGGGGCCUAGCGUUGUUCGGAAUCACUGGGCUUAAAGAGCACGUAGGCGGGUAGGUAAGUGCUUUGUGAAAUCCCACGGCUCAACCGUGGACUUGCUUGGCAAACUGCCUUCCUUGAGGCAGGUAGGGGUGCAUGGAACUCUAGGUGGAGCGGUGAAAUGCGUAGAUAUCUAGAGGAACGCCAGUGGUGAAAACGGUGCACUGGGCCUGUUCUGACGCUGAGGUGCGAGAGCGUGGGGAGCGAACGGGAUUAGAUACCCCGGUAGUCCACGCCGUAAACGAUGUCUACUAGGUCGUGGCGGUUCUGACGCCGGCACGGCCGGAGCUAAAGUGUUAAGUAGACCGCCUGGGGAGUACGGUCGCAAGGCUAAA